UACGGAGGGUGCGAGCGUUGUCCGGAAUCACUGGGCGUAAAGGGCGCGUAGGCGGCCUGAUAAGUAGGGGGUGAAAUCCUGCGGCUUAACCGCAGGGCUGCCUUCUAAACUGUCAGGCUAGAGCACAGUAGAGGCAGGUGGAAUUCCCGGGUGUAGCGGUGGAAUGCGUAGAGAUCGGGAAGAACAUCAGUGGCGAAGGCGGCCUGCUGGGCUGUUGCUGACGCUGAGGCGCGACAGCGUGGGGAGCAACAGG
rnacentral:rRNA from 1 species